AUACUAUACAGCGCGCGCUGUAGAAAUUCAUCGUCUGCUUUAAAUCUUCCGCCAUUUUGGUGAAUUAAACUGUAUUUAUGAUGCAAUAGUUAAAUUUUAUCAAAGGACUUUUUGUGAUUUAAAAAAGAUCUAAGCACUUCAUCCUUACCCGAUUUAAAUGUUAGAAAAAGAAAAAUAGAUUGGGGUGUGGAGGAAAAAAAGAAGUUUUCCGGGUAAACACGCUGUUCUUUGCAAGAAUACUACUCAUUGAAGUCCUUUUAGAAGAGCUACAGGAGCUCGAGUCGAGGAAAAGAGGCUUACUCUAACCCAGUCCAUUUUGCCAUUUAUUUUAAUAAAUGAAAUACGUAGGACCUGUAAGUUUCCUUCGGGCCGAGAAAAAUCUUCAUCUCGAAUAGAGUUAAAUAAACAGCUCUUCGGAGCCAUCGAGAAGUUAUGCCCCGAAAAGCUGUUUAUUUAAAUAUAUAAAAUGGCCACAGUCCUCCCUAACAUGGGAUUUAGAAGUUAUCUGUAUGAUGUUCUCUAUUCUUUGCAAAAAUGUUUUUCUUCGUGUUCUACUGUCGGACCCAUCCCUCACCACCCGGCUGCCCCAUUAUGGGUUUUUUUACAAGCCCAGUAAUUAGAGAUCCAUUCUAAAAAGUUAGAAUGGGUCUUCAUUUACCAUAAUGAUUGCAAGAUGGAGUUCAGAACAUUCCACAAUGCCUCAAAGUCAUGUUAUUCAGUCUUGCAUUUAAAAUAGAAGCACCCAUCCUCUCUAUUGUAUAUUAACACGCUGAAGUUCUAUAAAAAAAUAAUCAAUUAACCAGGAUACAUUCUCCUACGUAUGAUCUUUAUGGCCGCUCUAUUUAUUUUUUAAACAUAUUUUCACAAUUUUAUCAUUAGCGAAUCACAUAAACAGAGUCCAAGAAUAAAGUUCAUGUUAAGAAGUGAAUCGUAUGUUGCAUCUAACUGAAAAUAUUUUUAUAAAAACAGUUGCCAUUUUGUUACGGAAGAGAUGCAUCAAAAUAAGGAAAAUGUCAUCAACUAACGUUAUGAAGUUUAAGGAAUAUAUAAACAUUGAGUUUCUGUGCAUGUAAUGGGUGAAUUCUUGGAUGUAAAUGCUACAACAUAGGGAGGUUCGCAUAUUAGGGACAUCGAUGCUAUUAAAUUUCGGUGGUUGAAGGUCCAGUCGGUGGGGAGAUAGAGGAGGUCACAUAUCGUAUCUCGAGCGGUUAACGAAGAUUUCACUCGCUUAUUAUCAUGUACAAUUUAAGAA
rnacentral:lncRNA from 1 species